rnacentral:lncRNA from 1 species
GCUGACUCUCUUUUUGGAUUUAGCCAGCCUGCACCCAGGUGAUUGAAAGCCUUAUUGCUCACACAAAGCCUGUUUGGUGGUCUCUUCACAUCGACGCUCAUGAAAUUUGGUGCCAAAACCGGGGAUUGGGGGACCUCCCUUAGGAGAUCAAUCCCUUAUCCUUCCUCCUGCUCUUUGCUCCAUGAGAAAGAUCCACCUAUGACCUCUGGUCCUCAGACCCACCAGCCCAAGGAACAUCUCACCAAUUUCAAAUCCGAUCUUCUCGGCUUAGCAGCUGAAGACUGACACUGGCCGAUUGCCUCCGAAACCUACAGGACCAUCACAGAUGCUCUGGGUAACUCUCACAGUGGAAGACAGGAAUGUCAGGCCUCUGAGCCCAAGCUAAGCCAUCAUAUCCCCUGUGACCUGCACGUACACAUCCAGAUGGCCGGUUCCUGCCUUAACUGAUGACAUUCCACCACAAAAGAAGUGAAAAUGGCCUGUUCCUGCCUUAACUGAUGACUUUGUCUUGUGAAAUUCCUUCUCCUGGAUCAUCCUGGCUCAAAAGCUCCCCUACUGAGCACCUUGUGACCCCCACACCUGCCCGCCAGAGAACAACCCCCCUUUGACUUCCUGAGGAAGAUUGACAUUUGCCACACCUGCAUAAAGAACCCACUUGGUGAAAACCCAAGUUUUCUUGGAGUCUGCUGCUGUGAGACACGAGGAAAAAACAGUACAUGUGUACACGGUAGAUCUGGAAGGGAAAGCAGAAAGUAUCCAACACUUCUUGCAUGAAGAAAACAAAAUAAUUGGAGUCUAUUCCUCUCCACCUCGCAUCUGGGAUGUAACUUGAUGGACAAAUGGAA